CAAAACGUAGCUUAACAUAAAGCACCUGACUUACACUCAGGAGAUACCCCUUGCACGAGAUCGUUUUGA
rnacentral:tRNA from 1 species